rnacentral:rRNA from 1 species
CAGGAUUAGAUACCCUAGUAGUUCACGCGGUAAUCGAUGUCUACUAGUCGUUGGGUCCCUUGAGGACUUAGUGACGCAGCUAACGCAAUAAGUAGACCGCCUGGGGAGUACGGCCGCAAGGUUAAAACUCAAAUGAAUUGACGGGGGCCCGCACAAGCGGUGGAGCAUGUGGUUUAAUUCGAUGCAACGCGAAGAACCUUACCUGGUCUUGACAUAUCUAGAAUCCUGCAGAGAUGCGGGAGUGCCUUCGGGAAUUAGAAUACAGGUGCUGCAUGGCUGUCGUCAGCUCGUGUCGUGAGAUGUUGGGUUAAGUCCCGCAACGAGCGCAACCCUUGUCCUUAGUUACCAGCGGGUUAAGCCGGGAACUCUAAGGAUACUGCCAGUGACAAACUGGAGGAAGGCGGGGACGACGUCAAGUCAUCAUGGCCCUUACGACCAGGGCUACACACGUGCUACAAUGGUAGGUACAGAGGGCAGCUACACAGCGAUGUGAUGCGAAUCUCAAAAAGCCUAUCGUAGUCCAGAUUGGAGUCUGCAACUCGACUCCAUGAAGUAGGAAU